rnacentral:rRNA from 1 species
UGCGGUGGUCAUAGCGUGGGAGUUACGCCCGGUACCAUUCCGAACCCGGUAGCUAAGGCCUGCAGCGCUGAUGGUACUGCACUCGUGGGGGUGUGGGAGAGUAAGUCACUGCCGCAA